CAGUCGCCGCGGUAAUACGAAGGGGGCUAGCGUUGCUCGGAAUGACUGGGCGUAAAGGGCGCGUAGGCGGUUCAGACAGUCAGACGUGAAAUUCCUGGGCUUAACCUGGGGGCUGCGUUUGAUACGUCUGGGCUUGAGUGAGGAAGAGGGUCGUGGAAUUCCCAGUGUAGAGGUGAAAUUCGUAGAUAUUGGGAAGAACACCGGUGGCGAAGGCGGCGACCUGGUCCUUUACUGACGCUGAGGCGCGAAAGCGUGGGGAGCAAACAGGAUUAGAUACCCCUGUAGUCCCUGUCUCUUAUAC
rnacentral:rRNA from 1 species